rnacentral:rRNA from 1 species
UUUAAAUGUAAAAUAAAUAUACUAAAGUAGUAUUAGUUAUGUUCUUGAAAUUUAAAGAUUUUGGCGGUAUUUUAGUCUAUUUAGAGGAGCCUGUUCUAUGAUUGAUAAUCCACGAUUAAUUUUACUUAAUUUAUAUAAAUUUGUAUACCGUCGUUAUAAGAAGAUUUUAAAAGAAUAUAAAUUUUUAAUAUUUUAUAUAAAAAAAUAUAUCAGAUCAAGGUGCAGUUUAUAGUUAAGAAGAAAUGGGCUACAAUAAAUUUAUUUAUAUGGAUUAAAGUAAGAAUUUGACUUUAUGAAAGUGGAUUUAAUAGUAAUAAAAUUAAUUUAAAUUUUAUGAUUUUAGCUCUAAAAUAUG